CGAUGUUGUGUCUAUAAAAAGCGGGAGGAGAUUAGUUUUACAUAAAAUACAGUCAAAAAUUAUUUUUGGAUUAUAAUCAAAUACUUAAAAUUAUGUUUUUAGAUCUGGAAUUACUUUUGAUAAGUAUAAAUGCACCCCCAAACAUCCAAAUAGAAGUAUAUGAUUGCUAAGCAGUGCUCAUAUAUCUGACUAAUUAACACCCC
rnacentral:lncRNA from 1 species